rnacentral:lncRNA from 1 species
UUUGAUCAAUCAUGUUAAACUCAACAGUGAAAACAUUUUUACACAAUGCACUAGAGAACAAGUUUAUUUACUUUUGAACUUUUUCUACAAACAGAAAUUUCUCGCAAUAUUUAUUAAUAAUUGAAAUCAAACCGAUACGGAAAUAAGUCCACGUGAAACUCAUAUACCAAGGUAAAUUACCGACGGUCAAGAAGUUGCUUUCGACUUCAAGUUCUUCACUAUAUCAUCCCACCUCAGCAAUGAUCAACACCAUUUAGUAACUUCUUCUGAUUUACCCACCUGUCUCCAUCAGUCCAUAUGGUCCCCGUCUUCUUAUCAUGCUCCUUCACGCCUUGUUGCUGCUGACAAACAAACCACAUGUAAAUACCUUACAGUACAUAAUAUAUUUACAACCGCGCUAUGAAUAGAUAACUCCAAAUGUAGCUUUCAGGAUUGGUCAUGCAUUCUCUGUUGUCAUACCAAGAAUGCAUUUUAUAAUUGCACUCAAACUUGUAACUGUAAACAGUUCAGGUAUAGAAAAAAUAAAAGGCAUAUCACAAUAGCCCAACAUAACUUUUUUUUUCGGUUUGCAGGAUGAAAAACUGCUAAUAUGGUACUCCAAAGAGAGGGAAAAAAGUCUGAGCUUGAGUUCUGUGUCGAGUGUGGUUCUCGGACAGAAAACAGUAUGUGGUUUUCUUCCCCAAACACUUAUUAUUAUGAUUCAAGUACACGAAGGCAUACAUAUUCUUAGAAUGUCUGUAUUUGCAGACAAAUCUUUUGCGCUUGCAUUGGCCAGAAAAGGAACAUCACUCCUUGUCAGUCAUAUACAAGAAUGGUGAAUACUCACUGGACUUGGUAUUUCCUACUAGGCCUGGAAUUCUUGAGUUUAGAAUCUCUUUGUUCCUCGUAUAACUGCCUUUUCUAACAUCUAUUUACAAUCAUGUCUUCCCAGAUCUGCAAAGACAAGGACCAAGCUGACUGCUGGUAUCUAGGCCUAACAGCCUUGGUAUCUGCUCUAUAUAGUCCUCUUCUUUUGGUUGAUUCAACAAGCAGCCGUCGGAUAAACAGUUGCACAAAUAGCCCUCCUAGCUAUAUUCAGCAAAGGAAUAGGCUAUUUUCAGUAGAUGACACAAGAAAGUUCACCCAGGUUGGAACCCAUGCAUGUCAUGAUUUCUAUGUGAGAACAUGAUUACUUUGUUCAAGUAUGAGUUUACCAUGACUUGUGACCUUUCCUAGAUUACGCUUAGUAAAACUUUUGGUUUUCUGUUAAUCAGCGGCCACCCACUGCUCAGCUCAGGAAAUUGCGAAAUUAAUAACCAACAUGUUAGGCAGUGUUACAAUUCUGGCCAUUUUGAUAAAUUAUACUUUCCAAAUAUAUAAAUAAUAAUACAAUCAUUAGGUAACACCCAGACUAAUGUAAUGUCAAGUGGGUAAUGAUACACUUUGUGGAGCUGCAUAUUUUUUCAUAACUACUCCCUCCGUACAUCCGUUUGAGAGUCAAGUAAUUCCAUACAGAGGAUGUACUCCCUCUGUAAACUAAUAUAAGAUGUUUUAGGCCACUAAAAUAGUGAUCUAAAAUGUCUUAUAUUAGUUUACAGAGGGAGUACUAAAUAAGCCGAUACAUCUGAUAGCUUAUGAAAGACUGUAAAUUGCCAUGCCUUAGCCACUAGUAUUUUCAAAUUGUUAUAUUCAAUUGAUAGCUUAUGGAAGUAUCUAUUUGUGAAGGUACACUCACUGUAUGGCAGUCCUAGGUUGAUACAGAACAAAGUAUCGAAGAGCAGUCUGGAUUGCUCAGAAGCAUUCGUCACUCCAAGGCAGAGAACAUGGUCAGACCUAGAUUUCUACUUGGAAAGAAUUACUCCUGAAAUGGUAAAUAGAGUUAAAAACAGUUUCAUGGAUAUACCAGUGGCUGCAAAAAUUCAGGAGGGAAUUACCCAAAUGCCUAAACUGAAAGCUUCUGAAGGAUCACACAUGGCAUGUGGAAUAGAUUCUCUGAAGGACAUCUUUGCCUGGGGAGAAGUUCCAGGCAGUGUGUUGGAGAAUGGAGAUGCACCAAAAGAUAAUGUUUCACUUCCAAGGUUAUUGAAGCCAACCCAGAUUCUUGACGUGCAGAACGUCGCCUGUGGAGAGAAACAUGCAGCAAUAGUUACUAAGCAAGGGGAGGUCUUCUCUUGGGGAAAGGAGAGUGGUGGGAUAUUGGGACACAAAGUGAGUGUCAGUGUCUCCGAGCCUACGAUUAUCAAAUCUCUUAGCUCUAUCCCUAUGAAGGCUAUUGCAUUUGGGGCAAAGCACACCUGUGCACUUGCAAUUUCAGGAGAACUUUAUGAGUGGGGUGAAGGGACUCACAGCUUGGGUCUGUGGGAUGAUCAGUGUCAAAGAAGCCAAUGGUUCCCACACAAACUGUUUGAUCCUUUGGAUGGCGUAUCGGUUCUGAAGAUCGCAUGUGGCCAAUGGCACACGGCAAUCAUAUCCUCCUCUGGUCAACUGUUCACAUAUGGCGACGGAACAUUUGGCGUUCUUGGACAUGGCGACACGAUGAGCGUGGCUCGGCCCAAAGAAGUAGAGUCUCUGAAAGGGUUGAGAGCCAAGGCUGUGGCAUGUGGGCCAUGGCACACAGCUGCCAUUGUGGAAAUAUUAGGCACUGUCAAGAGCAAUGCUCCUAGUGGGAAGCUGUUCACUUGGGGUGAUGCAGAUAAAGGAAAGCUGGGUCAUGCUGACAAAAAAUCCAAGCUUGUACCGACUUGUGUCAAGCCACUCAAUGAUUCUGAUUUUGCUCAGGUAUCCUGUGCGAAGGCACUGACAGUCGUGCUUACAAUAACAGGUGUUGUUUUCACCAUUGGAAGCACAUUAGGCAACCGCCGAUUGAGUGACACAUCUAUCUGUUCAGUUGAAGGGCCUCUCAAGACUGAGUUUGUCAGAGAUAUAUCAUCAGGCUCUUCCCAUGUUGCAGUUUUGACAAUGAAUGGAAAGGUGUAUACCUGGGGCAAAGGCACAGAAGGUCAACUUGGUUUAGGUGACUAUACUGACAGGAGCUCCCCAACUCUAGUGGAGUCCUUGGAAGAUAAGCAAGUAGACAGUAUAGCCUGCGGUUCCAAUUUCACUCUUGCCGUUUGUUUACAUAGGUCUAUCUCAGGCAAGGAUCAAUCUGUGUGCAGCAGUUGUCAGUUGUCUUUCACCUUUACAAGGAAGAAGCACAACUGCUACAACUGUGGUUCCAUGUUCUGCAAUUCCUGCAGCAGUAACAAGGUUUCAAGGGCAGCUCUUGGGCCAGAUAGGAGCAAAAGGUACCGUGUUUGCGAUGUGUGUUUCACUCAACUGCAGAAAAUUGAAGGACAUGGCACACUAAGUUCACAAUCAGCAAUCCAAAAGGAGGAGGCAUUUCCAACAGAAAUAAGACCAUAUACACCAAAGUUGUCACGCAUAUUCAAGGAAGCAAAUUCUAUCAUGGAAAAGAUGACAACGGCACAGGGUUCCAAUCAGAGAAAUCAGGACUUGGCUGCACCGGUUCAACUGAAAACACAGAGAUGGGGGCAAGUAGAGUGCCCCAGUCAAUUUAAAUGUGCACGAAACAACAUUCCAUGCUGUUCCAUACCAAAUAAACAGACAGUCGACGUUUCUCUUACACAGAGAAUGCCUGAACCAGUGCCCCCAAAAGGUACCAGCUCUAUGCCAGAAACAGCUACUAAUUUGAAAGCAGAAUUAGAUUCGACAGAGAAUAUAUUACUAGGAGAAGUAAAACAGCUUCAAGCACAGGUAAUUCAUAGAGUAUAACAUUGUUUGCAAUGUCAGAUUUUUUUGUCCUCCUUUUAAAUGAUACAUUAUAUUUUCACUAACUAUUAACUUAUUUUUAUUUGAAAAUGGCAAGCAUUGAUCUUAAUAGUCAUGUUGUUCUCAUCUAAGCAGGUGACCACCCUAGCAGAACAAUGCCGGCAUAGAAGCCUGAAGGUUCAGUUGUACAAACGAAAAGUCGAGGAAACCUGGCUGAUUAUCAUGAAUGAAGCAGCAAAGUGCAAAGCUGCAAAAGAAAUUAUAAAGGUUUUAACCAAUCAGGUAUAACUCUGACCUAUGUCAAUUCCCAACCUAUUCAGAAACUGAGUAUUUAUGUAAAAUAAGUUGUCUGGCGCAAAUUGUGCAGAAGAAUACUUUAUCAAAGAAGAUUGAUUUAGCUGGUGGGCAAUCAUACAACUCCAUAACUAUACCUAGCCAUGGACAACCAGUAAAAGCAGAAUUACCAGACCCACCAGACAAAAACCCUGUCACCGGCAAAUUUCAACAGCUGAGCAGCAUCAGGGAUCACCAUCAGCAAGUGGACAGGGAACGUAUACAGUCUUCAAGCGCAGCUGUGGCGAAAGGCUCAGCCACGCAUAGAAAUGGCAGAAGAGCACCAAGUAACAGCAAUACCUAUGCCGGGGAAAAUGAUGCCACCAUUCCUCCUGUUGAUCCCAAUGGCACGAUCGAGCAAAUCGAGCGCGGGGUGUAUGUGACCGUUGUCACAUCCCCCGGUGGAAACAAAGGCGUCAAGCGCAUCCGGUUCAGGUAACUCCAAAAAGGCCUUUGAUACACACACAUUCCCUAGAUAAUUUACUUGUGUGAUAAUAUGCUCUUUCGAACAAUCCUACAGCCGGAAGCACUUUGGCGAGAAGGAAGCACAAAAAUGGUGGGAAGCGAACGAGAGCAAGGUGUUUGCAAAGUACAGCGGCACGGAACAGGUGACAGAGUAACCAGCUGUGACAACCGACUGACAUUGUAAAUGGCAAUGGAUUCCAAAUACUCCCUCCGUUCACAAAUAUAAGAUGUUCUAACCUUUUUGUGAAUCGGAUGUUUAUAGACACGUUUUAAUGUGUUUGUUCGCUCAUUUCAGUCCGUAUGUAGUCCAUAAUGAAAUAUCCAAAACAUCUUUUUGUGAACCGAUGGAGUAGUAAACACACUGAAAGAUGGUACUGUUCAGUAAUGGCAAUAGAUGGAAUGAUGGAAGCAAAGGAAUCGGGACACCAUUAUUUGGUCCCUGAGAGGCAGUUUGCAGAACUAAAUUGCAACAUUACCACUUGCAUUGUACUCCAUGGUUAACCCCUAUAUGAUGUACAGAGGGUAGGUCUGAGUUGAGUUGGAUUAGGGUUAUGAUGCCUCCUCUUGAGUGAUCCGAUCACUCAGAAGUCAGAACUCGGAUGCAAGUUUGUAGUGUGGAUUCAUUGGCGUUGCCUUCCUGAUCUGAGUCACAUAGUGCGAGAGCAAAAACGUACCGGAACGGCUGGUUUUGAAGCUCCCCCUGCCUGCUAG